UACGUAGGGUGCGAGCGUUUAAUCGGAAUUACUGGGGCGUAAAGCGUGCGCAGGCGGUUCGUGAUGUCUGAUGUGAAAGCCCCCGGGCUCAACCUGGGAAUUGCAUUGGAAACUAGCGGGCUGGAGUGUGGCAGAGGGGGGGUGGAAUUCCACGUGUAGCAGGUGAAAAUGCGUAGAGAUGUGGAGGAACACCGAUGGCGAAGGCAGCCCCCUGGGUCAAAAACUGACGCUCAUGCACGAAAAGCGUGGGGGAGCAAACAGG
rnacentral:rRNA from 1 species